rnacentral:rRNA from 1 species
GAUGAACGCUAGCGGCAGGCCUAACACAUGCAAGUCGAGGGGUAACACGGGUAGCAAUACUUGGUGACGACCGGCGCACGGGUGAGUAACGCGUAUGCAACCUACCCUUAACUGGGGAAUAGCCCGAAGAAAUUCGGAUUAAUGUCCCAUAAUAUUACGAGUUCGCAUGGACAUGUAAUAAAAACUCCGGUGGUUAAGGAUGGGCAUGCGUGACAUUAGAUAGUUGGUGAGGUAACGGCUCACCAAGUCCACGAUGUCUAGGGGGCCUGAGAGGGUAAUCCCCCACACUGGUACUGAGACACGGACCAGACUCCUACGGGAGGCAG